UCAAAGCCUACUUUCAGGUUUUUCCACCGGGAGUUGGUACCUCCCGCUCUCUUGUUUACUUUAUACACCUUUUUACGUAUUUUAGCUAGCAUUCCGUGUGAGGUUUACUCUGUUGCUAUCUAGUUUGCAUCUUUUUUUCUCUUGUUUACUUUGUACACUUUUUAAUGUAUUUUAGCUAGCAUUCUGUGUGAGGUUUACUUUGUUGCUAUCUAGUUUGCAUCUUUUUGCGUAUUCCGCUAGAGUGCGCGUGUGCGUCACUAUUCUCCAUAGUCGGUUGGAGGGAUAGUGGCCGCGGCGGGGGAUGAUAGCGUAAGGUC
rnacentral:lncRNA from 1 species